CUGCAUAAUAUAUUUUAGAAAAUUAAUUGAAGUAAGUUAGGUAUUAUAUAUCAUUUUAUAUUCCAUGAAUUGACUGUUGUUGUGUUUGAAACAAUGCUGUUUUAGUAAUAAUAGCGUGCCAGAUUUUCAUCUUUUAGCUAACAACUUUUACAAUGAUUUCAGGAUAGAAUAAAAAAUAAAAAGCUAUAUCCUUAUAAUACACAAUAAUCCAUUCUCAGAAAUUUUGUUUGCAACAAAGCAGACUUAUUUCAAAGUUCUAUAAGUUAUGUUUUUUCUAACUUGACAAAAAGUUUUAAUGUAUCAAGUCCUCUUCCUACUUUACUUUAGAGGAAAACAAGAAUGUGUCCCAAGUAUACGGAUGCCCAAUCCACACUAUCAUUUUCUAUGUUCAGUGGACCUUGAAAAUUAGACAAACUCUAAUUUGGCAUUAAAAUUAGAAAGAUCAUAUCAUAGGGAACAUGUUUACUAAGUUUCAAGUUGAUUGGACUUCAACUUCAUCAAAAACUACCUCGACCAAAAACUUUAAACAAAACUUUAACCUGAAACGGGACAGACGGACAAAACAGAUGAUCGCACAGACUAGAAACGUAAUGCCCAUAAAUGGGGCAUAAAAACAACUACCAAAGCAGACACAAGCGAAAUGUUCACUUGAUUCUAUCAUUGGUUAAACCAAAUCUAAUAAUUUGGUACAACAAAAAUCUCAACUCAUAAGAUAUUCUCCUCAACAUUUGCAAUGAUCAUAAUAAACAAUAAUGUGUCAAUAGUAAUCAGAUGCACCACUCACAUUUAUAAUUUCAGUGAACUGUGAGAUUAGGGUCAAAACUCUAACCUGGCAUUAAAAUUAG
rnacentral:lncRNA from 1 species